rnacentral:rRNA from 1 species
UACGUGAGGGGCAAGCGUUGUCCGGAAUUAUUGGGCGUAAAGAGCGUGUAGGCGGUCCGGUAAGUCGGCUGUGAAAGCCCAGGGCUCAACCCUGGGAUGCCGGUCGAUACUGCCGGACUAGAGUUCGGAAGAGGCGAGUGGAAUUCCCGGUGUAGCGGUGAAAUGUGUAGAGAUCGGGAGGAACACCGGUGGCGAAGGCGGGUCUCUGGGCAAUUCCUGACGCUGAGGCGCGAAAGCGUGGGGAGCAAACGGG